rnacentral:rRNA from 1 species
AUUGAACGCUGGCGGCAGGCCUAACACAUGCAAGUCGAGCGGAUGAAGGGAGCUUGCUCCUGGAUUCAGCGGCGGACGGGUGAGUAAUGCCUAGGAAUCUGCCUGGUAGUGGGGGAUAACGUCCGGAAACGGGCGCUAAUACCGCAUACGUCCUGAGGGAGAAAGUGGGGGAUCUUCGGACCUCACGCUAUCAGAUGAGCCUAGGUCGGAUUAGCUAGUUGGUGGGGUAAAGGCCUACCAAGGCGACGAUCCGUAACUGGUCUGAGAGGAUGAUCAGUCACACCGGAACUGAGACACGGUCCAGACUCCUACGGGAGGCAGCAGUGGGGAAUAUUGGACAAUGGGCGAAAGCCUGAUCCAGCCAUGAAGCGUGUGUGAAGAAGGUCUUCGGAUUGUAAAGCACUUUAAGUUGGGAGGAAGGGCAGUAAGUUAAUACCUUGCUGUUUUGACGUUACCAACAGAAUAAGCACCGGCUAACUUCGUG